UAGUAUGUAGCGUAUUGCGAUCAUUAUAAAUAAUUAUAAUCUUGUGUGUUUUAAUUGAGCUUCGAAAAUAUAUAUUUCGGAUACAAAUUUUUCAUUAUUUUGAUACGAAAAAAACUGUGUUAUAAAACGAUAAUAAAUCUCUAAGAUGUAAAAAAAUAAGGUAAUAAAGAGAAGCAAUUACAGAGAGAGGAAAUAUAAUUGAAACAUGCGGAUAUGCGAAAACUGCGAUCUAGAAUGAACGGGCGAAAUUUAUUGAAUGGUUAGCAUGAAUAGAGUGCACUGUUCAAGGAUGAUGUUAUCCAGUGGAAACUAUAUAGCAUAUUGCCGAUUCACGCGACAAAUUUCAAAUCAUCCGUGGCAACUUAAAGUAGUCAAAGUAGACAAAGGAAGUCUUUGCACGCGGAAGUCAAGCCAGUAUUCGGCAGUGAUAAUCUGGGCAUAUAUCGAUUGGUGCCAUUCAGUGCCUGGUGAUAUUCGAGUUGCGAUGCUUUUCUGUAAGAGACGGGAAGGGGAGUGUUUUUCUUCGGCAAUGAAGGAGAUAAAUGGUUGACGGCGAUACAGUUUCCUCAGGGCUUCUCGGCGGCAGCCACGGUCCAAACGGCGGGGGGGCUUGCGUUCGCCACGAACGGUCAACCUUCACUGAAAUAGUGUCGACGUCGGCGUCACGACGCUUCCACCCCUUACUCCAGGGGGAUACCACCACCGCGUAGAGGGUGGGAAGGAUGAUCGCGUGCCGCGAACGCCUACCUAAACGCGGUCCCCGCAAAUCAGAGGAGCGUAGGAGGAGGUGGUGUAAAAAGAGCAAAGUUCCGGACAUGAAGAAAGGAUGCACAUUAGGUUGUAAAAUAUUAUUGCCACCGGCGAAUAGCAAGGAGUAUGUGGUUGGCGGUAACUAGACCAUCGCUAUGCCACCAGCCCAACCAGGUGAAUCGGUUCCCACAAUGUCGUGCCUGGAGCCACGCGGUUCACUCAUUGCCUAAGGAAACGACUUUACUUCUUGUUCCAUGGCGCUAAACUAAGUUAGUAACUUUCAGAUCCUUUUACUUUUAAGAUUCAUUAUAGCGAGAGAUCGACUUUGUCGAAAUUAUCAUUACUUUAUCAAAGACGAAAACAUUAUACAUUAUAUUAUACAUUAUAUAUUAUAUAUAUCUAAUUUAUAACUCUCAGUCUCAAGUAUAGAAACAGACACAGAAGCGUUGGCGAAUCACUGCAUCAAUGAAUCGCUCACAUAGGUCUACGGAGAAAGAUAGACGCCCUUAUCGCGUGUUUCUCCCGAAGGAGAGUAAAAAAUAAGAGAAGGGAACCGGCGUGUAUCGAUUUAUUUUACUAGCCGUCGUCAAGGAACUGCAUUUCAAUAUUAUCGCAUGAUAAGGUUACGUUAUACACUUUAUUACCGCCGUUGUCCGAAUCUCUCAGAUGAUUCUUGUCCCUGCCCACAAUUAGCAAAAUUAGAAAAAAGAUAUAAACGACUCGUGUUCUUGUCACCGCUUGUAAGCUUAUCGAAAAAUAAAUAUUUUUUAGAGAUAUUUUAUUUUGUAUUAGAAUAUAAAACAUUUUGUAAAAAGUAACUAUAUUAAUACAUAAUAUUUAUAUAAAAACAUAAAUCCUCCGUUCCUUAUUUCAGAAAACACUAUUAUUUAGAUAAAGGACAAGAGUUUAAGAUUUACUUCAUUUUUUGUACAAGCGGCUUAUGUUGGUUUUAGAAAAUUGUCUCUUAUCGUUAAAAUUUCUUUCCAUUCGAAAAUAACUUUCUUGAACUUUGCUAAAUGCUUAGUAUAUAUAACACAUCAUUCUUUCACACCAAUCGUUCUUGGCGUGGUUUCUUCUCGGCUAGUAUGAUUUUCAAUGUGGAAGAAUCAUCUACGAUAAAACAAUCACCAAAUAGUUCUUACACAUCUAGUCUUAUCAGGUUAAAAUUUUCCGCGAACUUGAUACGUUUCUAUGUAUUUUUAUUUAAAAAUUUUUUUAUUUAUAAACUGAUCGGCAAAAAAGUGAUUUUUUCGAUCAUUUUAACACAAUUCUUGUAAUUAAAAAUUCUUAAUCAUAUUCAUAAUAGUAUCCAAUUAUAUUAAAUGUAAAAAAUCAAAGAAUAUAGUCUACAUAUCGAAUAAAAGGAAAAAUUGCAAUAUAAAAUAUUACUUUUCUCUAGCAAUAAAUAUUAAUGAAGUGGAAUUAUUUAUUUAUUGCAGUAGAAACUAAAUUAAAUGCAGUAAUCAUAUUAAGGGUUUAUGUCGAAAUCGAAGAUGAUUAAUUAAGAAUUCAUUCGACAAUAAAAUUGAUUGUUCAGCGAAUAUUUAUCUUGAAUAAAGUGAUCGAGUGCAAUAUAUUUGGAAGAAAAAGAGAAGGAAGACAAUACCGGCGAACAGAUUUCUCUCUUUCUCUAUCUUUCUGUCUUUCUCCUUCUCUUUCUCUCUUUCUUAUUUUAUUUUUCUACGAACUGGUGACCCCGAGCUGUCAAAGUCCGUCAGUAUGUAUUGCCCCCGGGUCAUUCUUCCAUCUAUAAACGAGGCAUUAUUUACAGCAUUGCGCGUGCAUCGCAUUAUGAAAAGAUUACAAAUUUCGUCAGCCAAUCAGCGACUCGUUUGCGGGACCCUCACUGUAUGCAAAACACAUUAUGUUGCACAAGCAAAGAAUGCAAUUUCCAGCGAAUGAUUGAAUGAUACGAUCGCAGUAUACAUAAUUAUUACUUCCUUUGUCAUAUAGUGUAUUGGAUCGGAAGAUGCUCAAAAAUUUGAUAAAUAUUUCGAAGAUCUUUGUCCUUGUUUUUAAGAAAAUUAUCUUUUUAUUAUAAAAAUGCUGCGAAUAGUAAAAGAUUUUAAAUAUUGUUUACAAACUUUUAUUUUUAAUAUUUGUAGUUUUCUUUAUAUCAAGAUCAGUUCCAAUUGAUCCUCCUGUGAUAUAUUUUAUAUGUAACAAAUCAGCGAAGAAUGGGAUCUGUAUGUAUUAGUUGCAAAAUUUGUUACAGAUUAUUAUACUUGUAAUUAACAAAAUACAAAAUCAUGAAACGAAGCACUUUAUCUUCCUACAGAGGAAUAUUAAAUAUGUAUACAUUGCGUAUAGCUCGACCAAGAAUAUUUUUUCAAACAUUUUAUAUUAACGAUAUACAUAUUAACGAAAGAUAACUGAUGAUGCUUAUUGUAUUAUCGAGAAUAAUAUAGAUUACGUGGACUGUUUUGUGAAAUAUUUUGAAGAAUUCUUCACAAAAUCUACUAAAUCAAAUAAUCGAAUUAUAUAAUGAAAUUACAUAAUGAAACACAUUAAGCAAUCCAGACCUUGAUUGCUUAUUAAUCCUUUUGAUAUCGCAUUUCGAUAUACUCAAGAAAUGUUUGAAAGCUUUUAUUGAGAAAGAAAAAAAAAAUAAAUAAUAAAUAAAAAAAUAAAUAAAUAAAUAUUUGUUUUGUCAUUAAUUAUUUCAUGGAUAUGUCAAUUAUGAAAAUCGUUAAAUCUAAUUUAAUGUAAAGAAACAAUAAUGCAUUAAAAAUGUGCCGAUAUAAGUUCUAUAAUUUUUUUCAUAUAUAAAAAAAAGAAAAACCGAUAUCGAAAGGGUUAAAUCAUUACUAUUGAUUGUGCUGCUAUUUACAAAAUAUAUAUACGGAGUAAUCGAACAUUCAUUAAAGCAACAUUUAUAUCUCGCUUUUAUUAAUACAUACUGUAUAUAAUAACUUAUAAAUAGUAUUGUCAGCGAUUGUGUACAAACAUCUUUCGCUAUUACACAUUUACGGGAACCGCGCGAUCGAUAAUUCAAUAAUAUACGACAGAUGUGAAAAAUCUCAGAGAUAUUACUUUCUUCAAAAUCGUUUCUACUUAGAUAGGCGAUAAGCCGUUUUAAAAAUAUGGAAUAUUAUCUCUGUCCUAAUGUGAUUCUUUCUCUCUUUCUCUUUCUCUCUUUUGCUGGCAUCUUCGGAUAGUCGAUUUCUUCGAUCAAAUUAAAUCAAAGAGACGAAAUCUUUCAGAAAUAAAUCUAAAGAAACUCUUUUUCUCGAUUACAAGCAUGAUUAUGGUAAAAUGUAGCAAAGCGAGAUUAUAGUUAAAUAAAUUCUUCUAGAGUAUCUUUUUUCCUAUUAGAGAAUCCUUUUUUGCUUUGUGAAAGUUUACAAAGAGAUAGGAACAUAUAUUAAUCGCGCGGCGCAAAAGUUUCCCGUUUAGCAUAAUCAGUAUUGAUAGCACGCGAUUUGCAUAUGUGUUUUUUCAUUUGUGUACUCGCGAUCGUGUUCCUUUACAUGUUUUCCCAAUCAAGCAAAGGCAUUCGAUGGUGACACGACUGUUUUUUUAACUGAUACAGUCCUUGAUCUUUAAACUUUUAUUUUUAACUCGUUUUUCAUUUCAUUAAAAUCGUCGAACGAACGCGAUUACCGGUAACGAAUGA